GAUGAAGAACGUAGCGAAAUGCGAUAAGUAAUGUGAAUUGCAGAAUUCAGUGAAUCAUCGAAUCUUUGAACGCACCUUGCGCCCUUUGGCCAUUCCGAAGGGCAUGCCUGUUUGAGUAUCAUGAACACCUCAACUCUCAUGGCUCGCCAUGAUGAGCUUGGAUUUGGGGGUCUUGCUGGCCUGUUGUUGGCUCCUCUCAAAUGGAUCAGCUUGCCAGUGUUUGGUGGCAUCACAGGUGUGAUAACUAUCUGCGCUUGUGGUUUUCCAUCAGAUAACCUUCAGUGAUGGAGGUUCGCUGGAGCUCAUAAACGUCUCCCCUAAGCGGGGACAGCCCUUUGAAUGUUUGAUCUCAAAUCAGGUAGGACUACCCGCUGAACUUAAGCAUAUCAAUAAGCGGAGGA
rnacentral:misc_RNA from 1 species